AAGAGGGCUGUUGCUUUUCCUGGGGGUCCGGUUGGCGGGGCGCGUCGUAUGGUCUCCAGACCCGGACUUCAGCGCGUUUACAGACCCGCGACACUGCUGCCACUGCCGCCGUUUAGCGGGCAGUGAUACAUGUUGCAGAAAAGAGAGGACUGCCCCUUUAAAGAACUGGGCCCCCCCCUCCUCCUCCUCCUCUUCCUCCCCCCCCGCCCGGCCCCUCACCUCCGCCUUGCUGUGGAUCUGCUCCACACCCACCCACACUCGGCACGGACACAGAACCGAAACUGCGCGCACGGCUCUGCACAAAGGCGCUUACUGGGAGUAACAGGAAGAAAAGGCGAGCGUCUGUCUGCUUCGGGAUACAAGACCACUGAAUCAUCACCAGCAGCGGCGGCCAUGUGUGGGAUCUGAUCGGAGGCGCACCGGUGGAGAAGGAGAUCGCCGAGACUCGCCCCUCCUCCCCCCCCCUCCCCCGGAGCCCAGCGCAGGUGCCGGUGAGCAGCUGCCCGAGCGACGCGGACCCCGCCCCGAGCGCGCGCGGACGGCACCAUGAGCGAGCUGGAGCAGCUGCGGCAGGAGGCCGAGCAGCUGCGCAGCCAGAUCAAGGAUGCCAGGAAGGCCUGUAGCGACUCCACCCUGUCCCAGGUAAGCCCCGCUGCGCUCG